rnacentral:rRNA from 1 species
AAGCGUGUAGGUGUGUGUUCCAGGUAAAUCCGGUUCACUUUAACACUGAGGCGUGACGACGAGGCACUACGGUGCUGAAGCAACAAAUGCCCUGCUUCCAGGAAAAGCCUCUAAGCAUCAGGUAACAUCAAAUCGUACCCCAAACCGACACAGGUGGUCAGGUAGAGAAUACCAAGGCGCUUGAGAGAACUCGGGUGAAGGAACUAGGCAAAAUGGUGCCGUAACUUCGGGAGAAGGCACGCUGACACGUAGGUGAAGUGAUUUACUCAUGGAGCUGAAGUCAGUCGAAGAUACCAGCUGGCUGCAACUGUUUAUUAAAAACACAGCACUGUGCAAACACGAAAGUGGACGUAUACGGUGUGACGCCUGCCCGGUGCCGGAAGGUUAAUUGAUGGGGUCAGCGCAAGCGAAGCUCCUGAUCGAAGCCCCGGUAAACGGCGGCCGUAACUAUAACGGUCCUAAGGUAGCGAAAUUCCUUGUCGGGUAAGUUCCGACCUGCACGAAUGGCGUAAUGAUGGCCAGGCUGUCUCCACCCGAGACUCAGUGAAAUUGAACUCGCUGUGAAGAUGCAGUGUACCCGCGGCAAGACGGAAAGACCCCGUGAACCUUUACUAUAGCUUGACACUGAACAUUGAGCCUUGAUGUGUAGGAUAGGUGGGAGGCUUUGAAGUGUGGACGCCAGUCUGCAUGGAGCCGACCUUGAAAUACCACCCUUUAAUGUUUGAUGUUCUAACGUGGACCCGUGAUCCGGGUUGCGGACAGUGUCUGGUGGGUAGUUUGACUGGGGCGGUCUCCUCCUAAAGAGUAACGGAGGAGCACGAAGGUUGGCUAAUCCUGGUCGGACAUCAGGAGGUUAGUGCAAUGGCAUAAGCCAGCUUGACUGCGAGCGUGACGGCGCGAGCAGGUGCGAAAGCAGGUCAUAGUGAUCCGGUGGUUCUGAAUGGAAGGGCCAUCGCUCAACGGAUAAAAGGUACUCCGGGGAUAACAGGCUGAUACCGCCCAAGAGUUCAUAUCGACGGCGGUGUUUGGCACCUCGAUGUCGGCUCAUCACAUCCUGGGGCUGAAGUAGGUCCCAAGGGUAUGGCUGUUCGCCAUUUAAAGUGGUACGCGAGCUGGGUUUAGAACGUCGUGAGACAGUUCGGUCCCUAUCUGCCGUGGGCGCUGGAGAACUGAGGGGGGCUGCUCCUAGUACGAGAGGACCGGAGUGGACGCAUCACUGGUGUUCGGGUUGUCAUGCCAAUGGCACUGCCCGGUAGCUAAAUGCGGAAGAGAUAAGUGCUGAAAGCAUCUAAGCACGAAACUUGCCCCGAG